CCUGGUCCUAGAAUUCUUGCAGGAGUUGCUACUGUGUCACAUGUAUGGUAGGUAGCAGACAGGAGAAAGGCUAGGUCUAGGCUCAAUGUUCUGACCUAUGAACAUCUGGAUGAUUAGUGAACUAAUACU